ensembl:lncRNA
GCUCUACUUUCUCAGAAAACCAAAUGAUCAAGUUACCAGAUUAGAAAAACAAUCUGUUUUAAGACUGUAAAAGUUUUGGCCUAAACCGCAUUGAUAUACUUACUCUUAGCAGAGUGAUAGGAAAUAGUCUUUCAUAGCUCAAAGGAGGGGAAUAUUGAAAGGGGGCAUGGACAUCACUAGCCCAGCAGUGGUACAGCUGUGGAAUACCUUCUCCAGGGGAGGCCCAUCAGUUCCCCCAGUAUACAAAAGAAACUGAAGGGAGCUGCUCUGGCCAAAGUCAGGGGGUGCCCGGAAACCUCAAAUCACAGCUUUUGCCUUACCCUAAAUAAGCCAGUAUAAAACCAAACCAAACAAAACAAAAAAGGAGAAGAAGAAGGAAAAUCCCCAAGGAACCAGAAACCCCGAAAGUUUGGAUGAUUUGCUCAAAGACACACAGGUGCAAGGGAUAGGUUUGGAAUACAGCUCCUGACUCCAGGUUCUAGCUUUUCCUGCUGUGCCCACAAAUAGGAUAUCAUUUGGAUGAUGCCAUUUCCCUUUGCAGUGUGUGUGGUCACAGAACCCACAUGGUGUAUCUGUAAGGCACUCUGGAGUAGUGGGCGGAGGCCAUUGGUCCUUGGGGACUGGGUGGUUCCAAGCCUGGCCACCCUGAGGGGCAAGAGGCGUUUUUCUCUCCAUAUACCUAUAACCCAUCCCUGUGGGGAACAUGAGCUGGGAAGCUCUAAGCUGUGUAGUCUGGCUUCCUACUCUUCCAGAGAAAAGCAAGAGAGGAAAAGAUUCUGGCCUGACCAUGGUCUAACUGUGCCUUCAGUGCUCAUCAUGUACUGUUUUCUACACUUGCUUAGCAGCAAGAUCUACUCUGCACCUGGAACGGGGCUGCGUGCCAAACCACAUCAGCAGAAGUUGGCUGCAGGGAUUGGGAAAGACCAUGGAUGCCAAAUGUCUAGCAUGGUGGUGACAGCAAGAGCCACACGACAUCUGAAAACUCAUACACAUGAAAGAGAAGGGAGAGGAGGAGAAGAGCAAUCCGAAGCGUGCUGCCCGGCACAGGCACUGCAAUCUUGGCCCGAUACCCCAAGCCCACGUUUCUAGGCUCCGUUCUGUAUCCAGGUAAGACCGAGGGUCUGAAGAAGAACCCUUUUCCAGAUGAAGGUUAUAAACUUAAGAGGAAACAUGCAACUGUAUUUUCCUGAUCCCAAAUUGGAAUGUUGGAUCGGACAUAUCUAUAAAUAUUUUUAUCUAUGAAGUCUUUGAAAAAGGAAAACAAGUUGCUGCGGUUCACAUGUAAUACAUCUCCUUUACUGAGGAACGUAUUUAACUUUACUGAGCUUGGUCUGUGACUCAGGUCCUUGGUCCCAUCAAGGCCACUCUGGGGCUUCUGCUCUUAACCACCCACACACCAUGGAUAAUAUGCACAGGCCAGCCCCUGGAAUCUCCAUUUCAUUUGCCUUCCAUGACAAGCUUCAACAAGUGAUUUGUUAUGCUCUCACUUCUCAUUCUAAGUAAAUGUUCACUUUUUUUGUUUGCUUUUAAGAGAUGCGUUCUUGAUAUGUUGCCCAGGCUGAACUCGAGCUCCUGGGCUCAAGUAAUCCUCCUGUUUCAGCCCCCUGAGUAGCUGAGACGACGGCCCUGAGCCUCUGUGCCAGGCUAAUAUUUAUUUUUCUACCUACUUGUGCAUUUGUGAUUUCGUGGUCCUUUUCAUCAAGAGGGCGCCCAUAUUACAUAAGUUUCAAUCGCUACAAAGUUGGAUCUGCCUUUCAUAUGUGUACUCAUGUAGUGCAUUCUCUUAGUGUGCAUUAUUACACAGGGAAUCUCAACUAAUGGCUGUCUCAUAACCAUGAUUGUUUUUUUCUUUCUUUUUUUUUUUGACACGAAGUCUAGCUUUGUGGCCUGGGCUGGAGUACAUCCUGGUUCACUGCAACCUCUGCCGCCUAGGUUCAUGUCAUUCUCCCACCUCAGCCUCCCAAGUAGCUGGGAUUACAGGCACCCAUCACCACACCUGACCAAUUUUUGUGUUUUUAGUAGACAUGUGGUUUCCCCAAUGUUUGCCAGGAUGAUCUCAAACUCCUGACCUCCUUGCCCACCUCAGUCUCCCAAAGCGCUGGAAUUAUAGUUAGAGCCACCACCCCUGGCCACUGUAAUUCUUUUUUUUUUCUUUUUGAGACGGAGUUUUGCUGUUGUUACCCAGGCUGGAGUGCAAUGGUGCGAUCUCGGCUCACCGCAACCUCCGCCUCCUGGGUUCAGGCAAUUCUCCUGCCUCAGCCUCCUGAGUAGCUGGGAUUACAGGCACGCGCCACCAUGCCCAGCUAAUUUUUUGUAUUUUUAGUAGAGACGGGGUUUCACCAUGUUGGCCAGGAUGGUCUCGAUCUUUUGACCUCGUGAUCCACCCGCCUCGGCCUCCCAAAUUGCUGGGAUUACAGGCUUGAGCCACCGUGCCCGGCCUGUGAUUCUUAAUUAAGCAGAAUGUUCUCUGCAUAAUGCUCUUAGAAGUAAUUAAUGAAAUUAAAAGAAUGAAAGCAGAUCGCUUUUCAUUUCUGAAAUGUAGCAAGUAUUUAACCUUGUUCCCAAAUUUUUGUCCACCUCUAUGCAUAGAAAAGCAUGAUAACAGCUAACACACACAGAGUUUGCUGUGAACUAGGUCCAUUUAGUCCCCAUAGCCACCCACUGAGAUAGGUGCUAACUCAUUUUAUAGAUUUGAAAAAAACUGAGAAAUCAAACAUUUCCAAAGUUACACCUAAUAUAAGGCACACCUGGUUGUUGACCCAGGCCAUCUAGGUCCAGAAUCCAAGUCUCCACCUCUAUGCUGUAUCGCCUAUGUAGGGUCAUUGGUGAUGUUUGAGAUGAUCAUCCAGCAGCACAGAAACAAAGCAUUACUUUGUUAUCUACUGACAAACAUUGUCUUUGACUCUUAGCAUUCUGGAUAAAUAAAAUCAUGGUUGCUUUCCUUUCAGUUUCCUCCCUUCCUCAACUAGGAAUGAGAGAUAUCCCUGGACACGCGGGGUAGUCUGACAUGUUGGCAGGCUUUGAAGUAGGCUGAGUAAUGUCCCCCAAAGAUAUCAGCCCU